GACGCUGGCGUAUGCUUACACCUGCAGUUAAACGGCAGCACGGACUUCGGUCUGGUGGCGAGUGGCGAACGGGUGAGUAAUGCAUCGGAACGUGCCCAUCUGUGGGGGAUAGCUCGGCGAAAGCCGGAUUAAUACCGCAUACGAUCUAUGGAUGAAAGCGGGGGACCUUCGGGCCUCGCGCAGAUGGAGCGGCCGAUGUUAGAUUAGGUAGUUGGUGGGGUAAAGGCUCACCAAGCCGACGAUCUAUAGCUGGUCUGAGAGGACGAUCAGCCACACUGGGACUGAGACACGGCCCAGACUCCUACGGGAGGCAGCAGUGGGGAAUUUUGGACAAUGGGCGAAAGCCUGAUCCAGCAAUACCGCGUGCAGGAAGAAGGCCCUCGGGUUGUAAACUGCUUUUGUACGGAACGAAAAGGUCCUGGCUAAUAUCUGGGGCUGAUGACGGUACCGUAAGAAUAAGCACCGGCUAACUACGUGCCAGCAGCCGCGGUAAUACGUAGGGUGCAAGCGUUAAUCGGAAUUACUGGGCGUAAAGCGUGCGCAGGCGGCUGUGUAAGACAGGUGUGAAAUCCCCGAGCUCAACUUGGGAAUUGCACUUGUGACUG
rnacentral:rRNA from 1 species